AUAACAAUGCGGGACUCUUAUGAGGCUUCGUAAUUGGAAUGAGUACAUUCUAAAUCCUUUAACGAGGAACUAUUGGAGGGCAAGUCUGGUGCCAGCAGCCGCGGUAAUUCCAGCUCCAAUAGCGUAUAUUAAAGUUGUUGCGUCUAAAAAGCUCGUAGUUUGAAAACUUGCCUUGGCUUACAACAGACGUCUAAGGGCGUCACCGUUUGUCGAGAGCAAAUAUGGGUGACUGUUCUUGCCUUCUUCACUGAUUGGCUCGUAAAAGUCAUCGAAGAUCACUUUGAUUAAAUUAGGGUGCUCAAAGCAAGUGUGCUACUUGAAUAUGAAUGCAUGGAAUGAUGGAAUAUGUUGUUGUUCUAUUUGUUGGUUUUUUUAAUGACGAAAUGAUUGAAAGGAACCGUUGGGGGCAUUCGUAUUGUUGUGAGAGAGGUGAAAUUCUUAGACCAUAGCAAGACGAACUACUGCGAAAGCAUUUGCCAAGAAUGUUUUCAUUGAUCAAGAACGAAAGUUAGAGGUUCGAAGGCGAUCAGAUACCGCCCUAGUUCUAACCAUAAACUAUGCCGACUAGCAAUUUGCUUUGUAUUUUUAUGACUAAGUGAGAGGCCACGGGAAACCAAAGUAGGGUUAUGGGGGAAGUAUGGUUGCAAAGCUGAAACUUAAAGGAAUUGACGGAAGGGCACCACCAGGAGUGGAGCCUGCGGCUUAAUUUGACCCAACACGGGAAAACUUACCUGGUCCUGACACUAGAAGGAUUGACAGAUUGAUAGCUCUUUCUUGAUUUGGUGGAUGGUGGUGCAUGGCCGUUCUUAGUUGGUGGAGUGAUUUGUCUGGUUAUUUCCGAUAACGAACGAGACUCUAGCCUAUUAAAUAAUAUGCGGAAUCAAUUUCUCCCGCGUUAUUUCUUAAUGGGAUCAAGCGUGUUUAACGCUUUGAAACAGAGCAAUAACAGGUCUGUGAUGCCCUUAGAUGUUCGGGGCUGCACGCGCGCUACAUUGAAGAACAAAGUGAGCCCUCUGGCUUUUAACAAAGCUAGAAAUCUUUUAAUGUUCUUCUUAAUGGGGAUAGGGGAUUGCAAUUGUGCCCCUUGAACGAGGAAUUCCCAGUAAGUGCUAGUCAUUAGCUAGUACUGAUUACGUCCCUGCCCUUUGUACACACCGCCCGUCGCUACUACCGAUUGAAUAGUUUAGUGAGAUCAUCUGAGUGUUUGUAUGUGCAUUCUGUGCUUGUAUGGUGUACGAAGAAGAUCAAACUUGAUUAUUUAGAGGAAGUAAAAGUCGUAACAAGGUUUCCGUAGGUGAACCUGCGGAAG
rnacentral:rRNA from 1 species